UACGGAGGGGGUUAGCGUUGUUCGGAAUUACUGGGCGUAAAGCGCGCGUAGGCGGAUCGGAAAGUCGGGGGUGAAAUCCCGGGGCUCAACCCCGGAAUUGCCUUCGAAACUCCCGAUCUUGAGUUCGAGAGAGGUGAGUGGAAUUCCGAGUGUAGAGGUGAAAUUCGUAGAUAUUCGGAGGAACACCAGUGGCGAAGGCGGCUCACUGGCUCGAUACUGACGCUGAGGUGCGAAAGCGUGGGGAGCAAAC
rnacentral:rRNA from 1 species